GCGACCCCAGGUCAGGCGGGACCACCCGCCGAAUUUAA
rnacentral:rRNA from 7 species